GGCCCGUUGGUCAAGCGGUUAAGACACCGCCCUUACACGGCGGUAACACGGGUUCGAAUCCCGUACGGGUCACAA
rnacentral:tRNA from 1 species